rnacentral:lncRNA from 1 species
GAACAUCACAAUUGUUCACUGUCUCCCUGACCACCACUGUAGAAGCCUUGCUUUUGUUAUUGCUGUCGCUGCCAGGGGGUGCACGUUGGUAAUGAAAAGACACCAAGCCAUCUAU